GAUGAACGCUGGCGGCGUGCCUAAUACAUGCAAGUCGAGCGAAUGGAUUAAGAGCUUGCUCUUAUGAAGUUAGCGGCGGACGGGUGAGUAACACGUGGGUAACCUGCCCAUAAGACUGGGAUAACUCCGGGAAACCGGGGCUAAUACCGGAUAACAUUUUGAACCGCAUGGUUCGAAAUUGAAAGGCGGCUUCGGCUGUCACUUAUGGAUGGACCCGCGUCGCAUUAGCUAGUUGGUGAGGUAACGGCUCACCAAGGCAACGAUGCGUAGCCGACCUGAGAGGGUGGUCGGCCACACUGGGACUGAGACACGGCCCAGACUCCUACGGGAGGCAGCAGUAGGGAAUCUUCCGCGAUGGACGAAAGUCUGACGGGGCAACGCCGCGUGAGUGAUGAAGGCUUUCGGGUCGUAAAACUCUGUUGUUAGGGAAGAACAAGUGCUAGUUGAAUAAGCUGGCACCUUGACGGUACCUAACCAGAAAGCCACGGCUAACUACGUGCCAGCCGCCGCAGUAA
rnacentral:rRNA from 1 species